rnacentral:rRNA from 1 species
CGAAUGCUGACAUAAGUAACGAUAAAGCGGGUGAAAAGCCCGCUCGCCGGAAGACCAAGGGUUCCUGUCCAACGUUAAUCGGGGCAGGGUGAGUCGACCCCUAAGGCGAGGCCGAAAGGCGUAGUCGAUGGGAAACAGGUUAAUAUUCCUGUACUUGGUGUUACUGCGAAGGGGGGACGGAGAAGGCUAUGUUGGCCGGGCGACGGUUGUCCCGGUUUAAGCGUGUAGGCUGGUUUUCCAGGCAAAUCCGGAAAAUCAAGGCUGAGGCGUGAUGACGAGGCACUACGGUGCUGAAGCAACAAAUGCCCUGCUUCCAGGAAAAGCCUCUAAGCAUCAGGUAACAUCAAAUCGUACCCCAAACCGACACAGGUGGUCAGGUAGAGAAUACCAAGGCGCUUGAGAGAACUCGGGUGAAGGAACUAGGCAAAAUGGUGCCGUAACUUCGGGAGAAGGCACGCUGAUAUGUAGGUGAAGUCCCUCGCGGAUGGAGCUGAAAUCAGUCGAAGAUACCAGCUGGCUGCAACUGUUUAUUAAAAACACAGCACUGUGCAAACACGAAAGUGGACGUAUACGGUGUGACGCCUGCCCGGUGCCGGAAGGUUAAUUGAUGGGGUCAGCGCAAGCGAAGCUCUUGAUCGAAGCCCCGGUAAACGGCGGCCGUAACUAUAACGGUCCUAAGGUAGCGAAAUUCCUUGUCGGGUAAGUUCCGACCUGCACGAAUGGCGUAAUGAUGGCCAGGCUGUCUCCACCCGAGACUCAGUGAAAUUGAACUCGCUGUGAAGAUGCAGUGUACCCGCGGCAAGACGGAAAGACCCCGUGAACCUUUACUAUAGCUUGACACUGAACAUUGAGCCUUGAUGUGUAGGAUAGGUGGGAGGCUUUGAAGUGUGGACGCCAGUCUGCAUGGAGCCGACCUUGAAAUACCACCCUUUAAUGUUUGAUGUUCUAACGUUGACCCGUGAUCCGGGUUGCGGACAGUGUCUGGUGGGUAGUUUGACUGGGGCGGUCUCCUCCUAAAGAGUAACGGAGGAGCACGAAGGUUGGCUAAUCCUGGUCGGACAUCAGGAGGUUAGUGCAAUGGCAUAAGCCAGCUUGACUGCGAGCGUGACGGCGCGAGCAGGUGCGAAAGCAGGUCAUAGUGAUCCGGUGGUUCUGAAUGGAAGGGCCAUCGCUCAACGGAUAAAAGGUACUCCGGGGAUAACAGGCUGAUACCGCCCAAGAGUUCAUAUCGACGGCGGUGUUUGGCACCUCGAUGUCGGCUCAUCACAUCCUGGGGCUGAAGUAGGUCCCAAGGGUAUGGCUGUUCGCCAUUUAAAGUGGUACGCGAGCUGGGUUUAGAACGUCGUGAGACAGUUCGGUCCCUAUCUGCCGUGGGCGCUGGAGAACUGAGGGGGGCUGCUCCUAGUACGAGAGGACCGGAGUGGACGCAUCACUGGUGUUCGGGUUGUCAUGCCAAUGGCACUGCCCGGUAGCUAAAUGCGGAAGAGAUAAGUGCUGAAAGCAUCUAAGCACGAAACUUGCCCCGAGAUGAGUUCUCCCUGACCCUUUAAGGGUCCUGAAGGAACGUUGAAGACGACGACGUUGAUAGGCCGGGUGUGUAAGCGCAGCGAUGCGUUGAGCUAACCGGUACUAAUGAACCGUGAGGCUUAA